ensembl:lncRNA
UGAUGGGGAAGGAAGACUCUAAACUCACCUCCUCCCACGGGCACACCAAAAUUACAAUGAUUUACAGAGGAAUUAUCUAUGAAAAUGACCUGAAGACUGGCAGAUAAGAUUUUCCACAGCUAAAGAUAUAUAGAAGGGGCCACAACAGAUGCGUAGAAGGGGUGGAGACUCGGUAUAGUCAGGACUCACACCCCCAGGUCAGUGACCCACAAAUGGGAGGAAUAUCACAAGCACAGAGGUCCUCCCCAGGGAAUGAGGGGUCUGAGCCCCAUGUUGGGCUCCUAGCCCAGGAGUUCUAUGCCAAAAGAUGAGCCCCCAGGACAUCUGGUUUUGAAAAUAGGGCUUUUGAAAAACAUGCUGAUUCUAAAAAGCAGAGCUUAUGUUUGAGAGCUGGAGGGCUAUAGGAUAGAGAGAGUCUGCUCUUAGAGGGCACAUGAAAAGUCUCACGUGCUCACAGUCCCAAUGCAGAGGGAGAAAUUCGAAAGGAGCCCAGGUCCUAGGCCCAUGCGCUUUUGCACAGCAAAGGAAACCAUCUAUCAAGUGAAAAGGCAGCCUACUGAGUGGAAGGAGAUAUUUGCAAAUGAUAUGUGUGAUAAGAGGUUAAUAUCCAAAAUAUAUAAAGAACUCAUACAACUGAAUAUCAAAAAAAAUUCCGUUAAAAAAAUGGACAGAGGACCUGAAUAGACAUUUUUCCAGAAAAGACAUACAGAUGGCCAACAGGCACAUGAAAAGAUGCUCAACAUCACUAUCAUGAGGGAAAUGCAAAUCAAAACCACAAUGAGAUAGCCCCUCACAGCUGUCACAAUGACUGUAAUCAAAAAGACAACGAAAACAAAUAAGUAUUGGCGAGGAUGCGGAGAAAAGGGGACCAUCCUGCGCUGUUGGUAGGAAUGUAAAUUGGUGCGGCCACCAUGGAGAACAGUAUGGAGGCCCCUCAAGAAACUGAAAGUGGAAUUACCAAAUGAUCCAGCAAUUACAGAUCUGGGUAUUUUUGUGAAGAAACAAAAACACUAAUUUGAAAAGAUAUAUGCACCACUAUGUUCAUAGCAGCAUUAUUUACAAUAGGCAAGAUAUGGAAGCAAUCUAAGUGCCCAUCAGUAGGUGAAUGGAUAGAGAAGGUGUGUGUGUGUGUGUGUGUAUACACACACACACACACACACAUACAGUGUUGGCCAAAAGUUCGGGUUUUUCCAUGUGAAUAUAAGCCAUAAAGAAGAAUGAAAUUGUGCCAUUUGCAGCAACAUGGAUGGAUGUAUAGGGCAUUAUGCUAAGUGAGGUAAGUCAAAGACAAAUAUCAUAUGAUCUCACUUAUAUGUGGGAUCUAAAAAAGCAAAAUGAAAACAGACUCAGAUAAAGAGAACAAAUGGGUGGUUGCCAGAUUCGGGGGAAGGAGGGUGCUUUGGGCAAAGUAAGUGAUGAGUAUUAAAAGAUACAAACUUCCAGUUAUAAAAUAAAUGAGCCCCAGGGAUGUAAUAUACAUCAUAAAGAAUAUGGUCAAUAAUACUGUAAUAACUUUGGAGACAGAUGGUUACUAGAUUUAUCAUAACGAUCAUUUUGUAAUGUAUGUAAAUGUCAAAUCACUAUGUAGUACACCUGAAACUAACAUAAUAUUGUAUGUCAACUAUAUUUCAAUUAAAAAAAAAUAAACUUUGAUCACCAAAGGAUAAAAUAUAUGUUG